CUGACAGUCUUGGAGACUGAAAUCCUCUCUAUAUCCCCAGAAGAGGUGCAGUGUAGAGACCAGCUCUCUCCCCCCCCCCCACACACACACACACUAGUCCCUGCCACUGUGUCUCAGUCCUUCUCGGAGGAACCAGUUGAGAGGGAAGUUCAGUCUCCAUGGUCCAUGCAGUCCUUGGGCACU
rnacentral:sRNA from 1 species